AGGGGACCAGAAUGUAUUCGUUCAAGUGUUUUGUUUUUGUUUUUUCUUUAACAACGAAACAUUAGAAACAGAGGUGAACGUGAAAGAUAAGACAGCCCCCAAUCACUACUUCUGAACAGGAACUCUUACAGUUCCCAGCCAGGCUCCGGCAUGUCCCAAAUGAGAUCACAGACCCAGGCAGCUGCAGCACCGCGGGCUGAAUGUCGUGUCUGGUCAUACCCUUAGAUGCAGCCCUUUUUAUCCACUGCGUCAAACAAAAGAACAAAAAAUACUAACAGAUCCAAAUCAUAGCUAAGUAUGGAUAUGAAAUAAAGCUCAAGCUAUUGUCAUCGUAGCAGUGAGAGGAACAUGAGGUCUACCCAGAGCAACAUCACCAAGCAACAUCAUCUCACUCACUGAAUCUGCAUUGAAUGAUUCAGUUGGUAACAUGCAAAGGCUGCUCGUGCUGUGUGCUACCCAGAGGUGAAGGCUUGGGAACAAUUACAAGCAGAAGAACACCCGUCAGAGAGCUCUGUCCUCCUAUUGUCUCCCACUUUAAUUCAAGGCAUACACAUGGCCCUGGGAUGAAUGCCCUUAUUCUAAAAUUGCUCUCAUUCAUUUUCCAUCUAUUUCUCUUUGAAUGACUCAUUGUACUACAAGAAGAUUUUUACUCAGGCUGCCUCAUAAAUCAUGUCGAAGCCCUCUUACCAGCCCACAUCUCAUCACUCAGGUGUACAGGUUACUUGUACAGAUGUAUGUA